rnacentral:rRNA from 1 species
UAAGUUGGUAGUGAAAGCGUGGGGCUCAACCCCAUAACAUUAUCAAAACUACGAAAGCUAGAGGAUGAGAGAGGUUAUUGGAAUUCCCAGUGUAGGAGUGAAAUCCGUAGAUAUUGGGAGGAACACCGAUGGCGUAGGCAGAUAACUGGCUCAUUCCUGACACUAAGGCACGAAAGCGUGGGUAGCAAACGGGAUUAGAUACCCGGUAGUCCACGCUGUAAACGAUGGAUGCUA